AUGAGUGACGCGUCUCCACCUGUGCUGGAACGGCGGCUCCAUCGUGCACUAGCUUAUGAGAUGCCGGAAUCGGCCGUGGUGGAAGCCGCAGUCGAUGGCAUUUUUUGCUACAUCUGGUUACUACUUUUGCUGGAAUUAGCAACAUUUUUUGCUACAAUCCACAUUUUAAAGUGCUUUUUGCUGGAACGGCUCCCAAAUUUUGCUUCCAUGGUUUUGUUUUUUGCUACAACCGUUGCAUCCCCUGUCUUUUUGAUUUUUUUUUUCUCCAUCCAUCUUUAUGCUGGAACGAUUCCAAGUUUUGCUACCAUCGUCUUUUAUUUUUGCCACCUCCGCCUUAGUUUUUGCUACCAUCCUUUUUUUUGA
rnacentral:rRNA from 1 species